rnacentral:rRNA from 1 species
GACGAACGCUGGCGGCGUGCUUAACACAUGCAAGUCGAACGGUGAACUCCGCUUGCGGGGGGAUCAGUGGCGAACGGGUGAGUAGCACGUGGGCAACCUGCCCUCAGCUCUGGGAUAACUCCAAGAAAUUGGGGCUAAUACCGGAUAUGACCGCUGACCGCAUGGUCUGGUGGUGGAAAGAUUUAUCGGCUGGGGAUGGGCCCGCGGCCUAUCAGCUUGUUGGUGGGGUAGUGGCCUACCAAGGCGACGACGGGUAGCCGGCCUGAGAGGGUGACCGGCCACACUGGGACUGAGACACGGCCCAGACUCCUACGGGAGGCAGCAGUGGGGAAUAUUGCGCAAUGGGCGAAAGCCUGACGCAGCGACGCCGCGUGGGGGAUGACGGCCUUCGGGUUGUAAACCUCUUUCAGCAGGGACGAAGCGAAAGUGACGGUACCUGCAGAAGAAGCACCGGCCAACUACGUG